UACGAGGGGAGCAAGCGUUGUUCGGAUUUACUGGGCGUAAAGGGCGCGUAGGCGGUCGUGACAAGUCACUUGUGAAAUCUCCGGGCUUAACUCGGAACGGUCAAGUGAUACUGUCGGACUAGAGUACAGAAGGGGCAACUGGAAUUCUCGGUGUAGCGGUGAAAUGCGUAGAGAUCCGGAAGAACACCGGUGGCGAAGGCGGCCUGCUGGGCAGUUGCUGACACUGAGGCGCGACAGCGUGGGGAGCAAACAGG
rnacentral:rRNA from 1 species